UCCUGGUAAGUAAUGAUGAAUAAUUGAUAUUUCUGCUGCAGAAAACUGAAUUAAAGGAGUCAAGCUUAUAAACUUGAACUUAGUCAAAAUCACUUGCUGGAAAAUGUUUCUGUUUGCAUACAGAGUGGUGACUAAGUUGGUAAAAGUCUCUUAUUAAUCUGGUGUUUCAUAUACUGACUCAAACCAGAAUCAUGGGAAUAUCCCAAGACCUCCUCAACUUCAGGCAAUGCAGCUUAGAAAUUAGGGAAGGAAAAAUGCAUUGUGGGUGCUGAGUCCCAUAUACCACCCAAGUGUACUUACAAUAAGUAAAAGUCCUUGAAAAAUGUAGAUGAAAGGGGGAUGUAUUACAAAAGGAAGUUUAUGCACAUGGGUGGAUUAUUGCGUUCCUUACAGUAUAAUGAUGUCUCCUGACAGAAGAGAGAUAUUAAUGAAAUUAUCUAGUCAUGUACAUGACCAUGUAGAACAAGAAAAACACUGAGGAAGCAUACAUAAAAAGACUCCAGAUUUCAUUAUUUAAUUCUUUUGGUAAAUGGGUAUGUUGCUGAUUCAGGGAGACUGAUGUGGUGCAACUGCUGCUGCAGAUCAAGUCCACAAGGCACUGGGCACUUUUCAGACCAUCUUAUUUACUAUUAAUUGUUAACAAAAAUUAGCUUAAUUUCAGCUAGUGGGGAAGUUGAAGUUUACUAGGUUUCAUCUCACAUAUAGUUGGAGCUUUCUAUAGAACGAAUUUCUGAUAUCUACUUUUUGCUAAGUUGUUACAUUUUUAAUGAAUCAGACAUUUUUGAAUCAUGAAUGAGCAACAUCUGCAAAAAGGAUGAUUCGAGCUUUUCAGUGUUCACUGUGAAAAAUAUGGAACUGCUAAAGUCUAUUUCUGACUAUUCAUAGAUGAAUUGAGGCAGUUUCUCUUGGAGUUUUGCUUGAGUGUGUGCUGCAGGAUUUGGUCUAGUUUUGCCUGUCUUCAGUAAAAACAAGUGUAACUGGUCUGUUCUUUGCCUGUCACAACACAAGUGCUCCCUUGAAAUUGUCAUCUUCAGUAAGCUGUAUGAAUUAGUAUAGACUGUAACUCUGCUUAGUCAAGAACAUUAUAAAAAGAAAAUUCCAGAUAGAUGGGGAAAAAAAGAGACUUAGGAAUGAAAAGAUUCAGUUGUUUAAAAAUAGGUUGGGUCAUAUGUGACUAUUUUUAAAAAGCUGUAACAGUAAUACUUUAAAAACUAAAAUAGCUCUAUUUUAGUGCAACUUUUGCUCUAUUCUGACAGAAUGGUGUUGUGUUGAAUUUCAAGGCUGACCCUGGAAAACAUCUUAGGUGGCAAAGCAAAGAUCAAGACAGAUACACAUGACUGUGACAGGUAUUCUUAAACAGUGAAACUGCUAUCAGCAAAUGAACCCUCUUCUCCAAGACCACAUGAAUGCCACUGUGCCAUGCUGAAAGAAGGAAGUGAGGUUAUAUUUCACUUAAGGACAGAAUGAAAGCUGGAACUGGUUUCAUAUUUUUCCCCAUGUUUUCUUUUCCACUCUCAGUCAUAUCUGUAUGGCUGAUGGUUAACAGGGUGCUUUGCUUCUAUGUGAGGAAGCAUUUGUUAUUGCUUGCUCACUAUUUUCCAUAGCAACAAAAUGUCUCUGUUUAGAAUCCAGUGGAGAUGAGCAAACAGAAAAGCCUUUAAGAAGCAGUUUGUAAAAGAAGCUAAAUUAAACUUAACUCUUUCACUUUAA